CGCCUGUUGCCGCGCCUGGGGGUGGUCGAGCGAUCGUCACUUCCGCCGGGCAGCUCACUGCGUCCGGGUCAAUAACUGUUGCUGCUGUCUACAGCUGCAGCUGGGGCUGUGGGCUGGUGUCUCCACUGCCGACCGAGGGGAGCAGGCUCCGCUCGGCGCUGUCUUCUCCGACCUGGCCGUCAGCCCCACGUCGCCGGCCUGGAGGGGCGAAGAGGACGAGGGGGCCGAGGCUUCCUCCGGGGCCAUUGGCUCUCUGGAUUAUCAGGAGUUUGUAGUUGACAUUGAAUCCAGCUUGAGGAUGGAAGGUGUGGAACUGAAAGAAGAAUGGCAAGAUGAAGAUUUUCCAAUGUGAGCAGUGCUUUUUAGUGAAAACAGAUUUAGAUCAAAACUUCAAAAUUUCUUUAUUGGGAUGUCAUUUAAUCAAUAUUGGGCUUCUUUGUAAAAUGUUCUAAAGUGAUCAUUUGAUACUAGGAAAUGAAAAUUCCAGCAGUUAGAAUGAUUCUCUUGUAUCUUACUUUCCAACCAAGUAUGUAUAUAAUCCAUAGCUUUUCAUAUUUGUUUUGAUCAUUUAAAUUUCACAUUUUUUGUUGUACACAGUGUUUUAAUAUGGUAUUUUAAAAAUUAGGGUCUGAGAGGCUUCUACGAGGAUCUUUUGUUGUUGUUGUUGUUGUUGUUGUUGUUGGUACCAGGGAUUAAACUCGAAAGGCAGGCGCUGGAACCACUGAGUUAAAUCCCCAGUCCAUCUUUUGUUGUUUUUAAAAAGUUCUAAAUUGUGUGGGGGUUUUUCCAAGAAAAAAAACUCAGUUAAUAAAUAAAGAAGGAUCUUCUCUAUCAUCUGGCCAGCCACCUUAGCAGCUCUACAAAGGUCGCCUUAUAUAUAUAUAUUUUUUUAAUUAAUUUAUUUAUUUAUUUUUUGGUACCGGGGAUCGAACUCGGCUCCUUGCACUUGUGCAGCAGGUGGCAAAACCACUGAGGUAAAUUCCCGGCCCUGGCUGUUCAUAUUCUAAUUGCUAAAUCUUCUGACUACGAUCAUGAAAAUAGCAUUUAAAUAUAAGGCAACCAGGGCCGGGCCAAAAAAAAAAAAAAAAGGAAUAUGAAGAGCUAAUGGAGAGCUGUGUCAUGUAGCACAUGAUGAGAGCAGUGUGGAAGUGCUGAUCUCUUAGUUACAAGGAAAAUUUAGUGCACCGUGCAUCACAUUACAUUCAUGCUUUGGAAUUCUAUGUUAUAAUUU
rnacentral:lncRNA from 1 species